UACGGAGGGGACUAGCGUUGUUCGGAAUUACUGGGCGUAAAGCGCACGUAGGCGGAUUUGUGAGUCAGGGGUGAAAUCCCGGGGCUCAACUUCGGAACUGCCUUUGAUACUGCGAAUCUCGAGUCCGGAAGAGGUGAGUGGAAUUCCUAGUGUAGAGGUGAAAUUCGUAGAUAUUAGGAAGAACACCAGUGGCGAAGGCGGCUCACUGGUCCGGUACUGACGCUGAGGUGCGAAAGCGUGGGGAGCAAACAGG
rnacentral:rRNA from 1 species